rnacentral:tRNA from 1 species
GCGGUCGUGGUCUAGUGGUUAUGAUUUCGGCCUUCCACGCCGAAUACCCGGGUUCGAAUGCUGACACGAGCUUCGUGUGAGUCCGAAACUCCCGGCGACCGCACCA